rnacentral:misc_RNA from 1 species
AACCAUUCUCACCUGCGGCUAGACCUGCGGAGGGAUCAUUACACAAUAAACAUAUGAAGGCUGCACCGCCAACAGGCGGCAAGGCUGGAGUAUUUUAUUACCCUUGUCUUUUGCGCACUUGUUGUUUCCUGGGCGGGUUCGCCCGCCUCCAGGACCACAUGAUAAACCUUUUUUAUGCAGUUGCAAUCAGCGUCAGUACAACAAAUGUAAAUCAUUUACAACUUUCAACAAUGGAUCUCA